rnacentral:misc_RNA from 1 species
AACGCACCUUGCGCCUCUUGGUAUUCCGAGAGGCAUGCCUGUUUGAGUGUCAUGAAAUAUCAAUCCCCGGUGGUUUCUGACCGUCGGUGGACUUGGACUUGGGUGUCUGCCUCCCCUGGCUCACCUCAAAUGACUAAGUGGAUGUCCCUUGACCCAUGCUUGACGUAAUAAGUUUCGUCGUGGCUGGUCCCGUGGCGCCGCUCACAACCCACCAUAUCUUUUGACAUUGACCUCAAAUCAGGUAGGGCUACCCGCUGAACUUAA